CUUUAAUUACCGAUUGCAACAAUGUUGCAAUCGGUUAAUGGGUGCCACACAUCUCUCUAUGUGUGGGCUAUUAGGGGGUAGCUCAUUCGGUUCAUGAACAGCCCGUAUAGUCGCUGUUCGUGAAACAAAAUACAUGAAUGCUAGCGGCUUUCGGCUGCUAGCAUACAAAUUCUAUGCAAAAAGACAAUGUAGACCCAGUUUAUACAUAUUUUACAGCGGUUAGUAAGGACAACCUUUUUAUACAUAUAGUCCAGCAUCCUACAAGUGGCUAGGUUUGCCACAAUGCUCCGCCAGAACCAAGCCGGCAUACACAGUCUGAUCCCAAUGGAUCAGCUUGGGGAUGUUUGGAGGAGUGCCCACAGAUCACUUUUC